rnacentral:rRNA from 1 species
AAUACCCUAUUAUUUUAAAAGAAAUUUAUUGUACCUAAUUAGUAGUAGUUAAGGUCUUGAAAAUUAAAGAAUCUGGCGGUAUUUUAGUCUAUUCAGAGGAAUCUGUCCUAUAAUUGAUGACCCACGAUUUUUAUUACCUGUUUUAAAAGUAAUUUACAUAUCGCCGUAGUUUGAAUAUUUUUAAAAAAUACUAAUGUUCAUAAGUUAUUUUUAUAAAAAAAAUCAGGUCAAGAUGUAGUUUAUAGACAGGGAGAGAUGGAUUACAAUAAAAAUAUUUAUUAUGGAAUAAAUAAUGAAAAUUUUUUAUGAAAGUGGAUUUGAUAGUAAUUUUAUUUA